UUAUUCUCAAAUAAAAGUGAUGUUUAUUAAACGUAGAAACAAUUGAAUGGUACAUAUUUUUAUCACAUAUACAAUUUUUCAUAUACAGUUAUUGUUUUAAAUUUAUUUUACUAUCAUAUAAAACAUACUUUUAAAACAUAAGACAUAUAAUUUGACAUAUUCUCCAGCUUAGUAUAAAUGUUUAACAUGGUAAUGAGCCAACUUUGAGAAGAAAGUUGCUACAAAGCUAAGGCAUGUGAUUGCUUUUGAAUGAUUUUUUUUUUUGCAAAAUUUUGAUUAUGUAUUUCAUACAAAGGAAUGCAAGUGAAAAACAGGUUUGAUAUUUUUCUUUUCUUUUUUUUCCCUCUUUGAAACAAUAAGAUUCCUUCUCAUACUUAAUCUA
rnacentral:lncRNA from 1 species